rnacentral:rRNA from 1 species
GAUGAACGCUGGCGGCGUGCCUAAUACAUGCAAGUCGAGCGAACGGACGCGAAGCUUGCUUUUCUGAUGUUAGCGGCGGACGGGUGAGUAACACGUGGAUAACCUACCUAUAAGACUGGGAUGACUUCGGGAAACCGGAGCUAAUACCGGAUAAUAUUUUGAACCUCAUGGUUCAAGAGUGAAAGACGGUCUUGUUGUCACUUAUAGAUGGGUCCGCGCUGCAUUAGCUAGUUGGUAAGGUAACGGCUUACCAAGGCAACGAUGCAUAGCCGACCUGAGAGGAGGGUCGACGACACCAGUGCGGCGACACGGCGCCGACUCCUACGGGAGGCAGCAGUAGGGAGUCUUACGGAACGGGCGAAAGCAUGACGGAGCAACGACGCGUGAGUGAUGAAGGUCGUCGGAUCGUAAUACUCCGCUAUUAGGAAAGAAGAUAUGUGUAAGCAACUGUGCACAUCUUGACGGUACCUAAUCAGAAAGCCACGGCUAACUACGUG